UUAUAUUGUUGAGUGGAAAAUUACGACUAACAGACAUUCCUGAAUCUAUUCAACGAAAGGCUGGACGACAAACCAUCCGGCGUGCUGAUCCCAUUUCCGCAGUAUCCUCUAUAUUCGGCAACUCUGACGGAGUUUGGACUCGCUCAGAUUGAGUACUACCUAGAUGAAGAUAACAAAUGGUCGCUAGAAGUCAGUGAGCUGGAACGAACAUUAAGAGAAGUCAAGAAUAUAUGUAAUCCUCGCGUAUUGGUGGUGAUCAAUCCCGGUAAUCCAACCGGUCAAGUAUUGACUCGUAAGAA